rnacentral:rRNA from 1 species
UAGGGAAUCUUCCGCAAUGGGCGAAAGCCUGACGGAGCAACGCCGCGUGAGUGAUGAAGGUCUUCGGAUCGUAAAACUCUGUUAUUAGGGAAGAACAAAUGUGUAAGUAACUAUGCACGUCUUGACGGUACCUAAUCAGCAAGCCACGGCUAACUACGUUCCAGCAGCCGCGGUAAUACGUAGGUGGCAAGCGUUCUCCGGAAUUAUUGGGCGUAAAGCGCGCGUAGGCGGUUUUUUAAGUCUGAUGUGAAAGCCCACGGCUAAACCGUGGAGGGUCAUUGGAAACUGGAAAACUUGAGUGCAGAAGAGGAAAGUGGAAUUCCAUGGGUAGCGGUGAAAUGCGCAGAGAUAUGGAGGAACACCAGUGGCGAAGGCGACUUUCUGGUCUGUAACUGACGCUGAUGUGCGAAAGCGUGGGGAUCAAACAGG